UACGUAGGUUGCGAACGUUGUCCGGAAUCACUGGGCGUAAAGGGUCCGUAGGCGGUUUAACAAGUCUCAUAUGAAAGCUUCAAGCUCAACUUGGAGAUGUUGUGAGAUACUGUUAGACUCGAGACUGUUAGAGGUAAGUGGAAUUCCAGGUGUAGUGGUGAAAUGCGUAGAUAUCUGGAGGAACACCAGUGGCGAAAGCGACUUACUGGGACAGUUCUGACGCUAAGGGACGAAAGCGUGGGGAGCGAAC
rnacentral:rRNA from 1 species